rnacentral:rRNA from 1 species
GGAAUACCGGUGGCGAAGGCGGCCCCCUGGACAAAGACUGACGCUCAGGUGCGAAAAGCGUGGGGAGCAAACAGGGAUUAGAUACCCUGGUAGUCCACGCCGUAAACGAUGUCGAUUUGGAGGUUGUGCCCUUGAGGCGUGGCUUCCGGAGCUAACGCGUUAAAUCGACCGCCUGGGGAGUACGGCCGCAAGGUUAAAACUCAAAUGAAUUGACGGGGGCCCGCACAAGCGGUGGAGCAUGUGGUUUAAUUCGAUGCAACGCGAAGAACCUUACCUGGUCUUGACAUCCACAGAACUUUCCAGAGAUGGUUUGGUGCCUUCGGGAACUGUGAGACAGGUGCUGCAUGGCUGUCGUCAGCUCGUGUUGUGAAAUGUUGGGUUAAGUCCCGCAACGAGCGCAACCCUUAUCCUUUGUUGCCAGCGGUCCGGCCGGGAACUCAAAGGAGACUGCCAGUGAUAAACUGGAGGAAGGUGGGGAUGACGUCAAGUCAUCAUGGCCCUUACGACCAGGGCUACACACGUGCUACAAUGGCAUAUACAAAGAGAAGCGACCUCGCGAGAGCAAGCGGACCUCAUAAAGUAUGUCGUAGUCCGGAUUGGAGUCUGCAACUCGACUCCAUGAAGUCGGAAUCGCUAGUAAUCGUAGAUCAGAAUGCUACGGUGAAUACGUUCCCGGGCCUUGUACACACCGCCCGUCACACCAUGGGAGUGGGUUGCAAAAGAAGUAGGUAGCUUAACCU